CGUACCGAUCCGUCGAAUUUCUGAUUUCAGAGUAGUAAAAUGCAUUCGACGGAUCGGCACUGUGAUCGUAGCUAUGAAUUAGUUAUACUUGGACAUGGAACUCGUCUUCAUCUGUGUUUCUACAGAACGGGCAGAGCGCUGCAUCAGGGUCAAGGUUUUUAGCCCA